UGGGGAAUUUUGGACAAUGGGCGCAAGCCUGAUCCAGCCAUGCCGCGUGCGGGAAGAAGGCCUUCGGGUUGUAAACCGCUUUUGUCAGGGAAGAAACGGUCUGGGCUACUUCCCCGGACUAAUGACGGUACCUGAAGAAUAAGCACCGGCUAACUACGUGCCAGCAGCCGCGAUAAUACGUAGGGUGCAAGCGUUAAUCGGAAUUACUGGGCGUAAAGCGUGCGCAGGCGGUUAUGCAAGACAGAUGUGAAAUCCCCGGGCUUAACCUGGGAACUGCAUUUGUGACUGCAUAGCUAGAGUACGGUAGAGGGGGAUGGAAUUCCGCGUGUAGCAGUGAAAUGCGUAGAUAUGCGGAGGAACACCGAUGGCGAAGGCAAUCCCCUGGACCUGUACUGACGCUCAUGCACGAAAGCGUGGGGAGCAAACA
rnacentral:rRNA from 1 species